rnacentral:tRNA from 1 species
GGGCGAUUAGCUCAGUUGGUUAGAGCGCCUGCCUUACAAGCAGGAAGUCACUGGUUCGAGUCCGGUAUCGCCCACCA